rnacentral:rRNA from 1 species
GACGAACGCUGGCGGCGUGCUUAACACAUGCAAGUCGAACGAAGUGGCGAACGGGAGAGUAACGCGUAAUCAACAGGCACUUCAGAGGGGGACAACAGUUGGAAACGACUGCUAAUACAGCAUACUGAAGGAGGGGAUGGAGACUGAUUAGCUAGUUGGAGGGGUAACGGCCCACCAAGGCGAUGAUCAGUAGCCGGUCUGAGAGGAUGAACGGCCACAUUGGGACUGAGACACGGCCCAGACUCCUACGGGAGGCAGCAGUGGGGAAUCUUCCGCAAUUGACGAAAGUCUGACGGAGCAACGCCGCGUGAGUGAUGACAGCCUUCGGGUUGUAAAGCUCUGUUAAUCGGGACGCGGUACCGGAAUAGAAAGCCACGGCUAACUACGUGCCAGCAGCCGCGGUAAUAC